CCCUUAGAUGUUCUGGGAUGCACGCGCGUUACACUGAUUCGUUCAACGAGUUUAUGACCUUGCCUGAUGAGGUGGGGGAAUCUUUUCAAAUCGCAUCGUGAUGGGGAUAGAGUAUUGUAACUGUUAGUCUUCAACGAGGAAUUCCUAGUAAGUACGUGUCAUCAGCUCGUACUGAUUAUGUCCCUGCCCUUUGUACACACCGCCCGUCGCUCCUACCGAUUGAGUGCUCAGGUGAAUAGUAUGGACUGCAUCAGUGUUCGGUCUCCGAAUGUUGAAGCGAGAAAUUCUGUGAAUCUUAUUGCUUAGAGGAAGGAGAANUCGUAACA
rnacentral:rRNA from 1 species